rnacentral:rRNA from 1 species
GACGAACGCUGGCGGCGUGCCUAAUACAUGCAAGUUGAGCGCUGAGGGCUGGUACUCGUUCCAACUGGAUGCUCAGCGAACGGGUGAGUAACGCGGGGGGAAUCUGCCUUUGCGCGCGGGACAAAAUUUGGAAACGAAUGCUAAUACCGCAUAAAAACUUUAAACACAAGUUUUAAGUUUGAAAGAUGCAAUUGCAUCACUCAAAGAUGAUCCCGCGUUGUAUUAGCUAGUUGGUGAGGAAAAGGCUCACCAAGGCGAAGAUACAUAGCCGACCUGGGAGGGUGAACGGCCCCAAUGGGACUGAGACACCGCCCCAACUCCUAAGGGAGGCAGCAGGAGGGAAUCUUCGGCAAUUGACGGAAGUCUGGACGAGCAACGCCGGGGGAGUGAAGGAGGGUUUCGGAGCGUAAAACUCUGUUGGUAGAGAAGGACGUUGGUGAGAGUGGAAAGCUCAUCCAGUGACGGUAGCUACGCAGAAAGGGACGGCUAACUACGUG